GUAAGGAAUAUUGGUCAAUGGACGAAAGUCUGAACCAGCCAUGCCGCGUGAAGGAUGAAGGCCCUCUGGGUUGUAAACUUCUUUUAUCUGGGACGAAAAAAGGGUAUUCUUACUCACUUGACGGUACCAGAGGAAUAAGCACCGGCUAACUCCGUGCCAGCAGCCGCGGUAAUACGGAGGGUGCAAGCGUUAUCCGGAUUCACUGGGUUUAAAGGGUGCGUAGGUGGGUAUUUAAGUCAGUGGUGAAAUCUCCGAGCUUAACUCGGAAACUGCCAUUGAUACUAUUUACCUUGAAUGCCCUGGAGGUAAGCGGAAUAUGUCAUGUAGCGGUGAAAUGCUUAGAUAUGGCAUAGAACACCAAUUGCGAAGGCAGCUUACUACGGGGUGAUUGACACUGAGGCACGAAAGCGUGGGGAGCAAACAGGAUUAGAAACCCGAGUAGUCC
rnacentral:rRNA from 1 species